GUGGGUAGAGAUCAGUGGCAGAGCAUCUGCUUGGCAUGCACAAGGUCCUGGGUUCAAUCCCCAGUACCUCCA
rnacentral:tRNA from 1 species